rnacentral:rRNA from 1 species
AAUGAACGCUGGCGGCAGGCCUAACACAUGCAAGUCGAACGAAGCCUUCGGGCUUAGUGGCGGACGGGUGAGUAACGCGUGGGAACGUGCCCUUUGCUUCGGAAUAGCCCCGGGAAACUGGGAGUAAUACCGAAUGUGCCCUACGGGGGAAAGAUUUAUCGGCAAAGGAUCGGCCCGCGUUGGAUUAGGUAGUUGGUGGGGUAAGGGCCUACCAAGCCGACGAUCCAUAGCUGGUUUGAGAGGAUGAUCAGCCACACUGGGACUGAGACACGGCCCAGACUCCUACGGGAGGCAGCAGUAGGGAAUAUUGGACAAUGGGCGAAAGCCUGAUCCAGCCAUGCCGCGUGAGUGAUGAAGGCCUUAGGGUUGUAAAGCUCUUUCCGUGGGGAAGAUAAUGACGGUACCCACAGAAGAAGCCCCGGCUAACUUCGUGCCAGCCGCCGCGGUAAGAC